UUCUGGUGCAAGAUAACCUCUUGUGCCUCUCAUAGUAGUAAGCACUCUGCUAAAAUCGCGCCCAACAAGCUUUGCCAGGCCAAAAUCUGCUACUUUGGGGCAUAAUUGUGCAUCAAGAAGGAUGUUUUCAGGCUUUAUGUCACAAUGUAUGAUGCAGUCCCUACACUUCUCAUGGAGAUAAGUCAAGCCUCUUGCUGUCCCUAGUGCCACCUGGUACCUUGUUUUCCAAUCCAUAACAUCUGACUGCUUUUCGGUAAAAAUAUGUGAAUCCAAGGAUCCAUUUUCCAUGUAAUCAUAAACCAGCAGUUUCUUGUUACCUUCAGAGCAAAAUCCACGAAGGCGUACCAGAUUAACAUGUUGGAUUGUCCCGAUUGUGCUGACUUCUGAUCGAAAUUGCUUCUCUCCCUGGCUGAUGCUGUCGAGCCUUUUAACAGCAAUAACAGAUGAAUCAGAUAGUUUCCCUUUAAAAACAGAACCAAAGCCUCCACCUCCUAACUUCUCUGAGAAAUUUUUAGUCGCAUGUUGCAAGUCUUUGUAAUCAAAUGCAACCAGUGAACCCUCCACUAUUUUCCCACUUCCAAUAUGCCUACGCCUUCUCCGGAAUACAACAAAAAGAAUGCCCAGAAGGAUCAGUACGGCAGCAGCAGACCCCACAGAAACACCAAUUGGAAUUCCCUUUUUACUCUUUGAUUUUGGGAUGUCAGAUGCAGCUACCCUGACAUAGAUCGACUCGCCCCUGCCAUCAUUUUGUGGGAGUUGCUGCAUAUUCAAGAGUUCACCAUUCCAAAUUGAGCAUGAACUUCCAUAAGCAUAAGCAGUGCAACUGCAAUUAUUCAAACAGGUAGAUCUGCAUUCUUCAUCACUUCCAGCAGAAAUAUUUUGAGCAUUUUCAGGUACUUUCAUCUGGGGAUGCAUCCAAAAGUCAUCUCUCUCCCCAGUACCAUUGCCACAUUGCGACUUCGUUUGCCUCUCACAUCCUCCAGAAAAAUCAUUUUGACUCCUAUCAGUCUCUGAACUAUGCUUGAAACCAUCCAAACAAUUACAGAAGGGUAAGCUUUCCUGACAGGUAGCAAAUGGCCCGCAAAAUGCAUGAACUUCACAUUGUUGUCUUGGUUGAGACCAGAACAGAUUCCAUUGAUUUGUAUUAUCCAACCAUGUGAGUUGCUUAAUCUGUCCAGAGCCAUCCAUAAUGAAUCUUGAUAUGAUAGAAUCAUCAUAAAGGGAAUAUGUAAAAUAGCUUUCAUUCUGAUUGUCCUCAUAGCUAAAAUUGUAAAUAUAGUUAGUCCUCAUCUCAGGCACAUCUCUGAAAAUUCGAUUAUUCCAUGGUCCAGUAUUCCAAUAGUCCACACUUCGAUUGAACUUGAUAAUAUACUGCUUCUCAUUUGGGUCGAGUUCAAGUGAAUACAGCCCAGGCGCAGGAUCAUCUGCACUCUUCCAUGAAGUAAGAAGCUGCUUUGUUCUGGUGACUUUAUUGUAAGAAAGUUUAGAACCAGGCAACCAAGUAUUGGUGGGGUUAUUAAAACUUUGCCAAAGUGGUGGUGUUGAAUUAGACCCAUCUGUCAAGAUCAAAUUACCAUCAUCUUGAAGGACUGCUACAACAGAACUCGAGUUGCUGGAACUGAUAUUUGUGGACCAAAUUGAAGUUUGAG
rnacentral:misc_RNA from 1 species